GACGAACGCUGGCGGCGUGCUUAACACAUGCAAGUCGAACGGAAAGGCCCUGCUUUUGUGGGGUGCUCGAGUGGCGAACGGGUGAGUAACACGUGAGUAACCUGCCCUUGACUUUGGGAUAACUUCAGGAAACUGGGGCUAAUACCGGAUAGGAGCUCCUGCUGCAUGGUGGGGGUUGGAAAGUUUCGGCGGUUGGGGAUGGACUCGCGGCUUAUCAGCUUGUUGGUGGGGUAGUGGCUUACCAAGGCUUUGACGGGUAGCCGGCCUGAGAGGGUGACCGGCCACAUUGGGACUGAGAUACGGCCCAGACUCCUACGGGAGGCAGCAGUGGGGAAUAUUGAACAAUGGGCGGAAGCCUGAUGCAGCAACGCCGCGUGCGGGAUGACGGCCUUAGGGUUGUAAACCGCUUUCGCCUGUGACGAAGCGUGAGUGACGGUAAUGGGUAAAGAAGCACCGGCUAACUACGUG
rnacentral:rRNA from 1 species